UUGCCAACCAGUUGGACUUAUUGACGUUACUGACUGCUACUAUGGAUUCCCAAUUUCCUUGAGUUUCCCACACUUCAUGAACGGUGAUUUGGGGCUCCAACAAAACAUCACCGGCAUAAGUCCAAAUCCGGAAAAACACUCAUCAACAUUUGUUAUUCAACCAGAAUCCGGCCUGCCGCUAUCACUCUCUGUAAAAGUGCAAAUAAACAUGCACUUUAAGGACCUAACCAAUUUUCCAAUAGUAUCUGUGUUUAAUCAUCUUACAGUGCCAAUGUUGUGGUUUGAAAUCAUGAUGUCAAAACUGCCUGACAGCUUGGAUUCGCGGUUCAAUUUUUACCUGAAUAUUUUGCCGUUAGUUAAUCCCCUAGGCUUUUGGUGCGGCAUACUGUUGGGAAUAAGUCUCUUAAGCUAUGCAAUUACCAAAGCCACGAUUCAUAUGUCUAGUUUGGCCCGUCGUACUGCCAAUAUAACAGAUGUUAAAUAUGUACGAGCAAAUUUAAUUCAAAACCUCGCAGGUGAAGCCGCAAAUCAUGCUUACAGUCCUUGCGAUAUUAAGUUACUAGAUGAUCUUUCGGUUGUCAGGCAUCCUGUUAAAAAUCGAACAGUCCGGGAUUCGGCAUUUAGCACGAAAACCACGUACGCCUUGGAUAUGGAGCCUGCUUUGUUGGACACGGGCGAAAGCAGCGACGAGGGACGCGACUGCGACAUUGUAACUAUAUCCCGUAAUUCUACCAGCACCCUCUAUAGCGCAGAUAAAACAAACCGCCGAGUCGGCGACGAGUGCUUCGCCGAGAUCCAAACUCCCCAAACGAUUUUUAUAAGAGAAGAACAGCUGCAUUAAGCCAACAGUUACCAUACAUAUUCUAAGAAAUAGAGUAAAUAUAAAGUGAUUUUAAAUCACCUGGUGAGGUUGUACAAAUAUUUUUCGCGAGUGGUAACCUGGGAAUGAUAAUGUCGUAUAACUCAGGGAGUCUUAAGUUUAUCAGCUCACUUUUGGCCAUUGAGAGUUUAAGGUCACACAUGAACUAAACGAAGGAAUGAAUACCAUUUACUGGUUUUGGAUGCUUAAAUGAACUGGAACAUAAGGUUUUUGGCUAAUUAAACUAAGUUAUAGAAUACUGUCCUGGUAAAAGCUAAUUAAAUCGCUGAUUUGGUUAUAUUUAUUUUAAUACACAUGCUAAUUGCUCCUUAUUAACUGUGAUAGGUUUAAACAAUAAAUUGUAGUUCAUAAAAUGUUUAAAAGGAUUACAUUUUACCCCUGUAUAUA